GACAGAGGGGGCAAGCGUUGCUCGGAAUUACUGGGCGUAAAGGGCGCGUAGGCGGGAUGGCAAGUCGGUCGUGAAAGCCUUCGGCUCAACCGAAGAAUGUCGGCCGAUACUGCCGUUCUUGAGGGAUGCAGAGGAGACUGGAAUUCCCGGUGUAGCGGUGAAAUGUGUAGAGAUCGGGAGGAACACCGGUGGCGAAGGCGGGUCUCUGGGCAUCUCCUGACGCUGAGGCGCGAAAGCCAGGGGAGCAAACGGG
rnacentral:rRNA from 1 species